rnacentral:rRNA from 1 species
CCUACGGGAGACAGCAGUGAGGAAUAUUAGUCAAUGGACGAGAGUCUGAACCAGCCAAGUAGCGUGAAGGAUGACUGCCCUAUGGGUUGUAAACUUCUUUUAUAAAGGAAUAAAACGAGGCACGUGUGCCUUUUUGCAUGUACUUUAUGAAUAAGGAUCGGCUAACUCCGUGCCAGCAGCCGCGGUAAUACGGAGGAUCCGAGCGUUAUCCGGAUUUAUUGGGUUUAAAGGGAGCGUAGAUGGGUUGUUAAGUCAGUUGUGAAAUUUUGCGGCUCAACCGUAAAAUUGCAAUUGAUACUGGCAGUCUUGAGUACAGUUGAGGUAGGCGGAAUUCGUGGUGUAGCGGUGAAAUGCUUAGAUAUCACGAAGAACCCCGAGUGCGAAGGCAGCUUACUAAACUGUGACUGACAUUGAUGCUCGAAAGUGUGGGUAUCAAACAGGAUUAGAUACCCCAGUAGUC